ACUCCUACGGGAGGCAGCAGUAGGGAAGUUUUCCGCAAUGGACGAAAGUCGUGACGGAGCAAUGCCGCGUGAGUGAUGUAAGGUUUCGAAUCGUAAAGCUCUGUUGUAAGGGAAGAAUAGCAAGGAUAGGAAAUGAUCCUUGUCUGACGGUACCUUACCAGAAAGCCACGGCUAACUACGUGCCAGCAGCCGCGGUAAUACGUAGGUGGCAAGCGUUAUCCGGAAUUAUUGGGCGUAAAGCGCAUGUAGGCGGCUUUUUAAGGUCUGGUGUGAAAGCCUGUGGCUCGAACCACAGAAUUGCAUUGGAUACUGGAAAGCUAGAAUCUUUGGAGAGGUAAGUGGAAUUUCAUGUGUAGCGGUGGAAUGCGUAGAUAU
rnacentral:rRNA from 1 species